rfam:Homo sapiens chromosome 12, GRCh38 reference primary assembly.
AUCGCUUCUCAGCCUUUUGGCUAAGAUCAAGUGUAGAAUAUAUCCUCAUGAUUAAGUGAUACAUGACUGUAACUCAGGAGCAAUUAAUUGCCUUAUAUAUGUGAAUAGUUAAGUAUGAAAGUACACAUUUGGAUAUGCCAUUUUCUUCUCUUGUAUUCUCAGGGAAAUGUGUCUUGCU